rnacentral:rRNA from 1 species
GGUGAACGCUGGCGGCGUGCUUAACACAUGCAAGUCGAACGGGAAACCUUUUAUUGAAGCUUCGGCAGAUUUAGCUGGUUUCUAGUGGCGGACGGGUGAGUAACGCGUGGGUAACCUGCCUUAUACAGGGGGAUAACAGUCAGAAAUGGCUGCUAAUACCGCAUAAGCGCACAGAGCUGCAUGGCUCAGUGUGAAAAACUCCGGUGGUAUAAGAUGGACCCGCGUUGGAUUAGCUGGUUGGUGGGGUAACGGCCCACCAAGGCGACGAUCCAUAGCCGGCCUGAGAGGGUGAGCGGCCACAUUGGGACUGAGACACGGCCCAGACUCCUACGGGAGGCAGCAGUGGGGAAUAUUGCACAAUGGGGGAAACCCUGAUGCAGCGACGCCGCGUGAAGGAAGAAGUAUCUCGGUAUGUAAACUUCUAUCAGCAGGGAAGAUAAUGACGGUACCUGACUAAGAAGCCCCGGCUAACUACGUG